GUUCCGAGAUCCAGACAUGUUGGAGGAACCAAGUGCUACUUCUCUUUUCUAUAGAGCUCCUGAAAAUCGGGAAAUGCAAAAACCAUCCACUCAACAAGCAGAUGUCUACAGGUCCUCCUCUUGGAACUCCUGACUGGCAAAACUCCUUUCCAGGACGUUGUUCAGGAACAUGGUUCAGACAUUCCAAGGUGGGUUCGGUCAGUACGCGAGGAAGAGACAGAGUCUGGGGAUGAGCCUGCCUCAGGUAAUGAGGCAGGUGAGGAGAAACUUCGAACUCUUGUAAAUGUUGCAAUGGCAUGUGUCUCAUAUGCGCCAGAGAACCGGCCCUCAAUGAGGGACGUUCUGAAGAUGAUAAGAGAUUCAAGGGCAGAAGCUCAUGUUUCAUCCAAUAGCAGUGACCAUUCACCUGGACGAUGGUCCGACACUGUUCAGAGCUUGCCUAGAGAAG
rnacentral:misc_RNA from 1 species